UUUUAUCCUAUUAUUUCAGGUGCUGCAGGUGCAGAUAAUAGGGAAUCCUGUGUAAAUCAGGAACGGACCCGCCGCUGUAACCGGGGAUGAAGGUCACAAAUACCACUGUUGAUAAACCGAUGAACGGGAAGGUGUGGCCUGUAAAAUGAUCCGGAAGCCAGAAAACCUGCCUGAAUGUUUGGUCAUGUU
rnacentral:ncRNA from 30 species